rnacentral:tRNA from 1 species
GAGGGUAGUGCUCAGUGGUAGAGUGUAUGCUUAGCAUGCAGGAGGUCCUGGAUUCAAUCCCCAGUACUUCCA